rnacentral:rRNA from 1 species
GGUUAAGCGACUAAGCGUACACGGUGGAUGCCCUGGCAGUCAGAGGCGAUGAAGGACGUGCUAAUCUGCGAUAAGCGUCGGUAAGGUGAUAUGAACCGUUAUAACCGGCGAUUUCCGAAUGGGGAAACCCAGUGUGAUUCGUCACACUAUCAUUAACUGAAUCCAUAGGUUAAUGAGGCGAACCGGGGGAACUGAAACAUCUAAGUACCCCGAGGAAAAGAAAUCAACCGAGAUUCCCCCAGUAGCGGCGAGCGAACGGGGAGGAGCCCAGAGCCUGAAUCAGUGUGUGUGUUAGUGGAAGCGUCUGGAAAGGCGCGCGAUACAGGGUGACAGCCCCGUACACAAAAAUGCACAUGCUGUGAGCUCGAUGAGUAGGGCGGGACACGUGGUAUCCUGUCUGAAUAUGGGGGGACCAUCCUCCAAGGCUAAAUACUCCUGACUGACCGAUAGUGAACCAGUACCGUGAGGGAAAGGCGAAAAGAACCCCGGCGAGGGGAGUGAAAAAGAACCUGAAACCGUGUACGUACAAGCAGUGGGAGCCUCUUUAUGGGGUGACUGCGUACCUUUUGUAUAAUGGGUCAGCGACUUAUAUUCUGUAGCAAGGUUAACCGAAUAGGGGAGCCGAAGGGAAACCGAGUCUUAACUGGGCGUUAAGUUGCAGGGUAUAGACCCGAAACCCGGUGAUCUAGCCAUGGGCAGGUUGAAGGUUGGGUAACACUAACUGGAGGACCGAACCGACUAAUGUUGAAAAAUUAGCGGAUGACUUGUGGCUGGGGGUGAAAGGCCAAUCAAACCGGGAGAUAGCUGGUUCUCCCCGAAAGCUAUUUAGGUAGCGCCUCGUGAAUUCAUCUCCGGGGGUAGAGCACUGUUUCGGCAAGGGGGUCAUCCCGACUUACCAACCCGAUGCAAACUGCGAAUACCGGAGAAUGUUAUCACGGGAGACACACGGCGGGUGCUAACGUCCGUCGUGAAGAGGGAAACAACCCAGACCGCCAGCUAAGGUCCCAAAGUCAUGGUUAAGUGGGAAACGAUGUGGGAAGGCCCAGACAGCCAGGAUGUUGGCUUAGAAGCAGCCAUCAUUUAAAGAAAGCGUAAUAGCUCACUGGUCGAGUCGGCCUGCGCGGAAGAUGUAACGGGGCUAAACCAUGCACCGAAGCUGCGGCAGCGACACUAUGUGUUGUUGGGUAGGGGAGCGUUCUGUAAGCCUGCGAAGGUGUACUGUGAGGUAUGCUGGAGGUAUCAGAAGUGCGAAUGCUGACAUAAGUAACGAUAAAGCGGGUGAAAAGCCCGCUCGCCGGAAGACCAAGGGUUCCUGUCCAACGUUAAUCGGGGCAGGGUGAGUCGACCCCUAAGGCGAGGCCGAAAGGCGUAGUCGAUGGGAAACAGGUUAAUAUUCCUGUACUUGGUGUUACUGCGAAGGGGGGACGGAGAAGGCUAUGUUGGCCGGGCGACGGUUGUCCCGGUUUAAGCGUGUAGGCUGGUUUUCCAGGCAAAUCCGGAAAAUCAAGGCUGAGGCGUGAUGACGAGGCACUACGGUGCUGAAGCAACAAAUGCCCUGCUUCCAGGAAAAGCCUCUAAGCAUCAGGUAACAUCAAAUCGUACCCCAAACCGACACAGGUGGUCAGGUAGAGAAUACCAAGGCGCUUGAGAGAACUCGGGUGAAGGAACUAGGCAAAAUGGUGCCGUAACUUCGGGAGAAGGCA